rnacentral:tmRNA from 1 species
GGGGCUGAUUUGGUUUUGACAGCGAGAUAGUGGUCAUGUAAGCACGCCGAGCAUUGUGUUUUUGGCUCGUAAAUCUCAAGACUCAAUUUUUGUAAUUGGCGAGACUAAUUACGCUUUGGCAGCCUAAUACCAGGUAUUAGAUGCCUUUGAUCCAGGGGCUUACGUUUUCAUCGUACGCGGACCCCACCGGAUCAUCAUAACAAACGAUGAUAGAGAGACGCAACCGUUUCGGGCGUCAAUCGAAAAUUUAGAAACUAAGGAAUGUGUUGGUCGUCGGGUUUCCGGCGCAUUCUCGAAAAUCAAACGCGACUAAGCGCGUAGAAAGCAUGUCUGUUACUUGUUUGGACGCGGGUUCGAGCCCCGCCAGCUCCACAG